GGUGGCUCUCGGGUGAUGCAACCUGGAAUCAGGCUCCCUCCUUUCUGAUUCUGGGUGUGUCACUCGAGAAUCGCA
rfam:Myotis davidii contig14497, whole genome shotgun sequence.